ACGGUAUGAAAGAAUUCAAAAAUAGUGUAACUCAGUUCUUAUGCUUAAGUCCAAUCACUGUAUGCUUCUCAAUUUUUUUCAAAUUAGAAUUAACCAAUCUCAUCACUGGCAAUUGACUAAACUUCCCUAGUUCAAUGCUCGAUCAAAAUGCAAUAUAUUAAACAUCUACGUGAAUGAAUGCAUGCAAUUUUUUUUUAAAUAAAUGAAACUGAGUGAAUAAAUGGAAAAUAAAUUGAUUACUAAAUAACAAAGCACAAAUGAACAUCCUAACAUGCCAACUACCAAUACCUCCUGCAAAAAGAUAUACAAAUGCAUACCAAAUGAAAUGCAACCUAACACAUAUGCAAAACAACCUAAAUUCCCCCAAACUUAAACUACGCAAUGUCCUCAUUGAAAAGUAAAUAAGAGAGCUAAACGUGAGGACUUCCCUUCGAAGAAGAACUCUCCUCCUCAUCAGGGGAAUCUUGUGGCAGAUAAGCUGGACCAUCACCAUAUACCGGAAAUAGAACUUAGGAGCCUGUAUUUGCACUGAAAAUCCCUAACAACGUAGAUGCAAACCAAGUAUUAAAAGCCAUCAUGGUGUCCAUCCGCUAAGCAAAAGCAUCGAACCGCUUAUUCAUCCUACGAUCCUGUCGAUCUAGCCAUCAGUGCAAGGCCUGAAUAGAGUCAUCAAAAGCAGCGGGAUCCAUCACCUAGGGCUCAUCUUGUUGUUCUUCCUGUUCUUGCUCAUCCUGUUGAUUAUUCAGAAUAAAACCUUUCCCACGCAGAUGUGACUCACCACCUUCCUAAAAAUAUAUAUUUAACAAUUGUGGCAUGAUCAAUGACCGACAUUGGAGCUUGGUGCGGUUCGUCCGGGCCCCACUGAAC
rnacentral:lncRNA from 1 species